CUUUUAGUUGCCCAACGAAGUGUAAACUGAUGUUAUGUGGCUUUGAAAACAAAUGCAGUUAAUGAAAGUAUAUAAAACAAUUUUAAGUUAAUGUUUGUGUAAAUUGUAAAUUGUGAAAACUAUAAGCCAAAAUAAACAUCAAGGCAACAUACAGGAUAAUAUAUCAGGCGUGGUUUAUGCCACACGCGAGGCAUUCCGUUCGACGAAGACGCAUGGUGGUGCUGGGCAUGUCUUCCUGAUGAACAACGAUCGCCUCACUAUCACCUUGCAGUAUAUUGGAUUUCAUCAAUAUGCUGGGGCUAGAUGAGUCGCUGUGACCUAGGGGAGGGCACAAUAGACCAUAGGUCGCGGUGCAGACCUCUACCCUUAUCUAUUCUAUUCUAUCAGGUUGUUGCAGCGAAUGUACCAAUGAGCAUAUAUGCACCGACUAAGCAUGCUAUAACGGCAUUAACCGAAGUUUAUCGGCGAGAGUUCAACAAUGAGCAUACUAAAGUGAAAGUUACGGUAAAAAUAUAUGAAAUGCCUUCUGCUUUUCUCUUGGUUUUAGUCCCGGUUUCGUUGAGACUGAUAUUAUGACAAAGCACAUGCGCGAAGAACUUAAAGACUUCUCACGCCUGAGUGCCGACGAUAUUGCCGAUGCCUUGAUUUACUGCCUGCAAACGCCACCAAGAUUUAUUGCAAACAACACAUUUUUUCUUUAAUAAUUUAAUUAUAUAUUAUAAUUUCAUAAUUUUUGAAUUAAGCGAGCAAUGAUCUCGGUUAGGCACAACGGAUCUCUCUGGAUUACAAUACAUUAUCGCAUUUAGCUGUCGUAUAAUUAUUACAACAUCUUGUUUGCUUAAAAAUUUCCCGUCAACAAAAGACAAUUAAGCUUUCAAUUCAUUUGUAAGUAUGCAUUUCACUUGAUUAUGCACACCAAGUAACUUUCGUAAUCUUUAUCUCAAACUGAAUCACCUUAGGGGUCGGAUCUCUAUAGUCUAGCCAUAAAAAUAUUCGAGGACUUUAUAAUUCAGGAAAGAAAUUUUCUUUGGGAAUAAAUAUAAACAGAGACAAUCGUAAAA